AUUGAACGCUGGCGGCAGGCCUAACACAUGCAAGUCGAACGGUAACAGGAAGAAGCUUGCUUCUUUGCUGACGAGUGGCGGACGGGUGAGUAAUGUCUGGGAAACUGCCUGAUGGAGGGGGAUAACUACUGGAUACGGUAGCUAAUACCGCAUAACGUCGCAAGACCAAAAAGGGGGACCUUCGGGCCUCUUGCCAUCGGACGUGCCCAGUUGGGAUUAGCUAGUAGGUGGGGUAACGGCUCACCUAGGCGACGAUCCCUAGCUGGUCUGAGAGGAUGACCAGCCACACUGGAACUGAGACACGGUCCAGACUCCUACGGGAGGCAGCAGUGGGGAAUAUUGCACAAUGGGCGCAAGCCUGAUGCAGCCAUGCCGCGUGUAUGAAGAAGGCCUUCGGGUUGUAAAGUACUUUCAGCGGGGAGGAAGGGAGUAAAGUUAAUACCUUUGCUCAUUGACGUUACCCGCAGAAGAAGCACCGGCUAACUCCGUG
rnacentral:rRNA from 1 species